UAUUAGGUUGAUGCAAAAGUAAUUGCGGUUUUUGCCAUUACUUUCAAUGGCAAAAACCGCAAUUACUUUUGCAUCAACUUAAUA
rnacentral:pre_miRNA from 2 species